UAGGGAAUCUUCCGCAAUGGACGCAAGUCUGACGGAGCAACGCCGCGUGAGUGAAGAAGGAUUUCGGUUCGUAAAACUCUGUUGUUAGAGAAGAACAGCGCAUAGAGUAACUGUUAUGCGUGUGACGGUAUCUAACCAGAAAGCCACGGCUAACUACGUGCCAGCAUCCGCGGUAAUACGUAGGUGGCAAGCGUUGUCCGGAUUUAUUGGGCGUAAAGCGAGCGCAGGCGGUCAAUUAAGUCUGAUGUGAAAGCCCCCGGCUCAACCGGGGAGGGUCAUUGGAAACUGGUUGACUUGAGUGCAGAAGAGGAGAGUGGAAUUCCAUGUGUAGCGGUGAAAUGCGUAGAUAUAUGGAGGAACACCAGUGGCGAAGGCGACUCUCUGGUCUGUAACUGACGCUGAGGCUCGAAAGCGUGGGUAGCAAACAGG
rnacentral:rRNA from 1 species